UGGUUGAAAUUUGAUAUCCAGAAAAACAAAAAGGAGCCAAACAGUUUCCGAAGAAGUAGUUGAAAGUACAUUUGAAAGGUUGAAAGAGUUGAAAGUACAUUUGAAGGAAAACAACAAUUCGAGUUGGAAUUAGAUAUUAACACGGUCCACGAGGUCCAAUAAAAUUUUCGUCAAUGUUGGAACAGAGUUGCCCUCACUGGAUCUCCUACCCGAUGCCCGCUGAGGUCACUGGUUCUCCUUCCCGAUGCCCGCUGAGGUCACUGGUUCUUCUAUCCGAUGCCCGCUGAGGACACUGGUACUCCUACCCGAUGCACGCUGAGGUCACUGGUUCUCCUGCCCGCUGAGGUCACUGGCUCUCCUAUCCGAUGCCCGCUGAGGUCACUGGUUCUCCUACCCGAUGCCCGCUGAGGUAACUGGGCCUCCUACCUGAUGCCCGCUGAGGUCACUGGUUCUCCUACCCCAUGCCCGCUGAGGUCACUGGUUCUCCUACCUGAUGCCCGCUGAGGUCACUGGUUCUCCUACCCCAUGACCGCUGAGGUCACUGGUUCUCCUACCCGAUGCCCGCUGAGGUCACUGGUUCUCCUACCCCAUGCCCGCUGAGGAAAUAAGACAAAUAAGUUAAAACAAAUAUGGUUUUUCAACCGUACAAUUAGUUGAAGCGUGCAUAUUUCUUAAUUAAAAAGCCCCCCCCCCCCACCUCACUCAAACAUAGAUUUUUUGAGUGUCUAAUGAGUGUUUUACAAGGUUAAAUAUAAGACCAAAUAUGCUUAUUAUGGCCUAAUUAGUCUGCAUGUCAAUUUUUACGAAAAUCGGACAAAAAGAACAGUAAUUUCAAAUAUAAAAAUCUGCAAGUGGGGGAAAAAGGAAAAAGAGCCAAUAUAAAUACUGUAGUGAUUACACUUUUUAUGAAGUUUCUGAAUCAUUAUUUUUCGCGCAAUUUUUGAAAUGAAUAUUUUAUACACAAACUAGUUUUAUAAUUAAAACAUGCGAAAUGCAUGCGGGACCUGCCUAUCAUCGUUGCUUUUUCGAGGGACCACUCUAUCAUAGUAAGACUCUGAUUCAUGUAUAAUUCAGAGUUUGUUGCAUAGAUAAAGCUGCGAUUUUUCAUAGUUAUUUCAGCAAUGAUUCCGUCGAAGAUUCGCAGGUUGGAACAGAGUUGCCCUCACUGGAUCUCCUACCCGAUGCCCGCAGAGGUCACUGGGCCUCCUACCCGAUGCCCGCAGAGGUCACUGGGCCUCCUACCCGAUGCCCGCAGAGGUCACUGGGCCUCGUACCCGAUGCCUGCAGAGGUCACUGGGCCUCCUACCCGAUGCCCGCAGAGGUCACUGGUUCUGGAGAAGUUUAGGAGAACAUGAAUAUGAACAAAUGGGAGAACAUUAAGAUGAACACAUUUAACCUGUUUUUCUGAUUCGUUUUAAAUGUAUGAUUCUAUGUCUUAAAUGAU